GGGGCCGUGGCUCAGUGGUAGAACGUUUGCUUGGCAAGCAGAAGAUUCCUGGUUCAAUCCUCAGCAUCCCCU
rnacentral:tRNA from 1 species